AGCGAACGCUGGCGGCAGGCCUAACACAUGCAAGUCGAGCGCCCCGCAAGGGGAGCGGCAGACGGGAGAGUAACACGUGGGAACAUGCCCUUCAGUUCGGAACAACCCAGGGAAACUUGGGCUAAUACCGGAUACGUCCGUAAGGAGAAAGAUUUAUCGCUGAAGGAUUGGCCCGCGUCCGAUUAGCUAGUUGGUGAGGUAAUGGCUCACCAAGGCGACGAUCGGUAGCUGGUCUGAGAGGAUGAUCAGCCUCACUGGGACUGAGACACGGCCCAGACUCCUACGGGAGGCAGCAGUGGGGAAUAUUGGACAAUGGGCGCAAGCCUGAUCCAGCCAUGCCGCGUGGGUGAUGAAGGCCCUAGGGUUGUAAAGCCCUUUCGGCGGGGAAGAUAAUGACGGUACCCGCAGAAGAAGCCCCGGCUAACUUCGUGCCAGCAGCCGCAGUAAAAC
rnacentral:rRNA from 1 species